GGACACAGGGUGAGGCUGGAGGAUAAUGUCCUCUCUCAGGAGGCCCAGGCAGGUCCAGGAGAAGCCUGGAGCCCAAGUGAUCAGGGCUGACCAGUAUCAGUGAUGGAUGCGAUCGGCGAUCUCCUCAGGACAUCUGUCAGUGUGCUGCCUCGGACUGAUCCCUUUACCAGCCUAGUGCUUCCUACCACAGGGGAGGAAGGGAGCCCGCCUUCAAGCUGAAGUGAGAUCACCUCAUCCAAGGAAGUCACAAAGGGCUGACAGUGCAGAUCAUCUCUGUGCACUCUGGAAGCAUCAGGAAGCCAUUAAAGAAGACGCAAAUGACGUCAAUACCUCAACGGGAUGCAGGCAGCCCUCAGCAUGGCCUGCUUCUUGAUCAGAGAGAGAGAGAGAGGGAGAGAGAGAGAGAGAUCCAGCAGAAGGUUGGAGAGAACAUCUUUGAAGUGCCGCACACCUGCUCAGUAAAACUGAGCUCAUAGAGAUUUCAGGCAGUCUAAGCCUCAGUUUCCCCUGUUCUAGGAGAGGAAUACCUGGUAA
rnacentral:lncRNA from 1 species